GAAAUGCGAUAAUUAAUGUGAAUUGCAGAAUUCAGUGAAUCAUCGAGUCUUUGAACGCACAUUGCGCCCCCUGGUAUUCCGGGGGGCAUGCCUGUCCGAGCGUCAUUGCUGCCCUCAAGCACGGCUUGUGUGUUGGGCUUCCGUCCCUGGCAACGGGGACGGGCCCAAAAGGCAGUGGCGGCACCAUGUCUGGUCCUCGAGCGUAUGGGGCUUUGUCACCCGCUCCCGUAGGUCCAGCUGGCAGCUAGCCUCGCAACCAAUCUUUUUAACCAGGUUGACCUCGGAUCAGGUAGGGAUACCCGCUGACUUAAGC
rnacentral:misc_RNA from 1 species